UGAGACCACAGCUGGCCUCUAACCCUUGUUGUCCUUGGGCCCCGACAGGUGAAGCAACUCGUGCCCAUCCGCGAUCAGUCCCUGCAGGAGGAGCUGGCUCGCCAGCAUGCUAACGAGCGUCUGAGGCGCCAGUUUGCUGCACAAGCCAAUGCCAUUGGGCCCUGGAUCCAGAACAAGAUGGAGGAGAUUGCCCGGAGCUCCAUCCAGAUCACAGGAGCCCUGGAAGACCAGAUGAAUCAGCUGAAGCAGUAUGAGCACAACAUCAUCAACUACAAGAACAACAUCGACAAGCUGGAGGGAGACCAUCAGCUCAUCCAGGAGGCCCUUGUCUUUGACAACAAGCACACGAACUACACGAUGGAGCACAUUCGUGUUGGAUGGGAGCUGCUGCUGACAACCAUCGCCAGAACCAUCAAUGAGGUGGAGACUCAGAUCCUGACGAGAGACGCGAAAGGCAUCACCCAGGAGCAGAUGAAUGAGUUCAGAGCCUCCUUCAACCACUUUGACAGGAGGAAGAAUGGCCUGAUGGAUCAUGAGGAUUUCAGAGCCUGCCUGAUUUCCAUGGGUUAUGACCUGGGUGAAGCCGAAUUUGCCCGCAUUAUGACCCUGGUAGAUCCCAACGGGCAAGGCACCGUCACCUUCCAAUCCUUCAUCGACUUCAUGACUAGAGAGACGGCUGACACCGACACUGCCGAGCAGGUCAUCGCCUCCUUCCGGAUCCUGGCUUCUGAUAAGCCAUACAUCCUGGCGGAGGAGCUGCGUCGGGAGCUGCCCCCGGAUCAGGCCCAGUACUGCAUCAAGAGGAUGCCCGCCUACUCGGGCCCAGGCAGUGUGCCUGGCG
rnacentral:sRNA from 1 species